rnacentral:miRNA from 1 species
GUGAGUAAAUCUACCUCUUUGA